CACCCCUGCAUACUGGGCAAAGAGGCACCUGGUUGAUGGUGCUGUUCUUAAAUCCAGCAGGGGGAGAGAAAUGCAUCCCUGUUCAUCCCAGCCCAGUAUCCUGGCCCAUAACUGUUGCUGGUUCAUGCUGGGGGCACAUGA
rnacentral:snoRNA from 1 species